AUUGAACGCUGGCGGCAGGCCUAACACAUGCAAGUCGAGCGGAUGAGUGGAGCUUGCUCCAUGAUUCAGCGGCGGACGGGUGAGUAAUGCCUAGGAAUCUGCCUGGUAGUGGGGGACAACGUUUCGAAAGGAACGCUAAUACCGCAUACGUCCUACGGGAGAAAGCAGGGGACCUUCGGGCCUUGCGCUAUCAGAUGAGCCUAGGUCGGAUUAGCUAGUAGGUGAGGUAAAGGCUCACCUAGGCGACGAUCCGUAACUGGUCUGAGAGGAUGAUCAGUCACACUGGAGCUGGGACACGGUCCAGACUCCUACGGGAGGGAGCAGUGGGGAAUAUUGGACAAUGGGCGAAAGCCUGAUCCAGCCAUGCCGCGUGUGUGAAGAAGGUCUUCGGAUUGUAAAGCACUUUAAGUUGGGAGGAAGGGCAGUAAGUUAAUACCUUGCUGUUUUGACGUUACCAACAGAAUAAGCACCGGCUAACUUCGUGCCAGCCGCCGCCGUAA
rnacentral:rRNA from 1 species